rnacentral:rRNA from 1 species
GCCAGGGAAUUACAAGUGCAAGCUUAAAACCCAAAGGAUUUGACGGUGUCCCACCCACCUAGAGGAGCCUGUUCUAUAAUCGAUGAUCCUCGAUAUACCUCACCAUUUUUUGCCUUUUUCAGCCUGUAUACCUCCGUCGCAAACCUACCAUUUGAAUGKUCCAAAGUAAGUUCAACUGGGCCCUAACACGCCAAUACGUCAGGUCAAGGUGCAGCCCAUAAAAUGGGAAGCAAUGGGCUACAAUUUCUAAAAUAGAACAAACAAAAAACUACAUGAAACAUAGUCAUGAAGGCGGAUUUAGCAGUAAAAGAAGAACAGUAAGCUUCUUUUAACAAGGCUCUGGGACGUGUACACACCGNCCGUNAC